AUUGAGAGAUUGGCAUAAUGGUAGACAUCCAUGCAUGAUUGGUAGACAUCCAUGCAUGAUUGGAUACAAGAAGACAGUUUUGAAAGGGAGAGAGACUUUGAGGUAGGUUUUUUGUACUUUGAUGUGGCGAUUAAUUAGAUGGGUAUAUCCUUUCAAUUUUACAAAUUUUAUUCUGGGAAGUGGUUUUAGAGAAUCCUUCCGGAAUUUCAAUGCUGGCACCAGUCAAAUCCACUCGCAAUUUUCUUUAGUUACUUGAUUAGAAUAAGCAAAUUAUGUAAAUGAUAUACUUUUGUCUUGUACUAUUUUUUUUUUCUUUUCUACCCAUUCUUGAUCAGGAAGAUGUCCGAAAGAGGAAUAUUUAUUUGUUUUUGUGUGGAACAUUUUUGGGAUACCAGGGUGUAUGGGUCCAUUGUGUGACCAAGUAAUUAAUUUUGUAUUGGAAUAUUUGAUCACACAAUGGACCCAUACACCCUGGUAU
rnacentral:misc_RNA from 1 species